rnacentral:rRNA from 2 species
CGACUCUCGGCAACGGAUAUCUUGGCUCAUGCAUCGAUGAAGAACGUAGCAAAAUGCGAUACUUGGUGUGAAUUGCAGAAUCCCGUGAACCAUCGAGUUUUUGAACGCAAGUUGCGCCUAAAGCCACUAGGUUGAGGGCACGUCUGCCUGGGCGUCACACA